rnacentral:rRNA from 1 species
UAGCGGCGGACGGGUGAGUAACACGUGGGUAACCUGCCUGUAAGACUGGGAUAACUCCGGGAAACCGGGGCUAAUACCGGAUAACUUCUUCCUCCGCAUGGAGGAAUAUUGAAAGAUGGCUUCGGCUAUCACUUACAGAUGGACCCGCGGCGCAUUAGCUAGCUCGCGAGAUAACGGCUCACCAAGGUAACGAUGCGUAGCCGACCUGAGAGGGUGAUCGGCCACACUGGGACUGAGACACGGCCCAGACUCCUACGGGAGGCAGCAGUAGGGAAUCUUCCGCAAUGGACGAAAGUCUGACGGAGCAACGCCGCGUGAGUGAUGAAGGUUUUCGGAUCGUAAAACUCUGUUGUUAGGGAAGAACAAGUACCGUUCGAAUAGGGCGGUACCUUGACGGUACCUAACCAGAAAGCCACGGCUAACUACGUGCCAGCAGCCGCGGUAAUACGUAGGUGGCAAGCGUUGUCCGGAAUUAUUGGGCGUAAAGCGCGCGCAGGCGGUUUCUUAAGUCUGAUGUGAAAGCCCACGGCUCAACCGUGGAGGGUCAUUGGAAACUGGGAGACUUGAGUGCAGAAGAGGAGAGUGGAAUUCCACGUGUAGCGGUGAAAUGCGUAGAGAUGUGGAGGAACACCAGUGGCGAAGGCGACUCUCUGGUCUGUAACUGACGCUGAGGCGCGAAAGCGUGGGGAGCGAACAGGAUUAGAUACCCUGGUAGUCCACGCCGUAAACGAUGAGUGCUAAGUGUUAGAGGGUUUCCGCCCUUUUAGUGCUGCAGCUAACGCAUUAAGCACUCCGCCUGGGGAGUACGGCCGCAAGGCUGAAACUCAAAGGAAUUGACGGGGGCCCGCACAGCGUUGGAGCAUGUGGUUUAUUCGAAGCAACGCGUAGAACCUUACAGUUCUUGACAUCUCUGRCACCUAGAGAUAGGGACUUU